rnacentral:sRNA from 1 species
GCUGGGCGUUGUGGCGGGCACCUGUACUCCCAGCUACUUGGGAGGUCAAAGCAGGAGAAUCACUUGAGCCAGGAGUUGGAGGUUGCUGUGAGCUGUAAUGCCACGGCACUCUACCUAGAGUGACAGCUUGAGGCUCUGUCUCAAAAAAAAAAAAAAAAAAAAGAUAGAAUCUCACUCUGUUGUCUGGGCUAGAGUGCCCUGGCAACCUCACGGCAACCUCAAACUCUUGGGUUCAAGUGAUCCUCUUGCU